rnacentral:lncRNA from 1 species
CUGCGGAGCUGUAAUGAUUACCAUGGUAAGGAAUAUCGAUCGAUUAUCGGAACGUGUUGCUUUCUGUUAAUGGAACGUAAUUGGUUCCAUUCUUUGGGAGUGUUGUGGUCAGCUCGGUGGUCAGCAACAAGAUUUAAAUGAUAAUAGAAUUUAUAUUGGCUAAAAUCCGGGUAAAUCGAGCAGACCUCUAUUGGUUUUAUG